rnacentral:rRNA from 1 species
GAUGAACGCUGGCGGCGUGCUUAACACAUGCAAGUCGAACGAAGCACUUUAUUUGAUUUCCUUCGGGACUGAUUAUUUUGUGACUGAGUGGCGGACGGGUGAGUAACGCGUGGGUAACCUGCCUUGUACAGGGGGAUAACAGUUGGAAACGGCUGCUAAUACCGCAUAAGCGCACAGCAUCGCAUGAUGCAGUGUGAAAAACUCCGGUGGUAUAAGAUGGACCCGCGUUGGAUUAGCUAGUUGGUGAGGUAACGGCCCACCAAGGCGACGAUCCAUAGCCGACCUGAGAGGGUGACCGGCCACAUUGGGACUGAGACACGGCCCAAACCCCUACGGGAGGCAGCAGUGGGGAAUAUUGCACAAUGGGCGAAAGCCUGAUGCAGCGACGCCGCGUGAGCGAAGAAGUAUUUCGGUAUGUAAAGCUCUAUCAGCAGGGAAGAUAAUGACGGUACCUGACUAAGAAGCACCGGCUAAAUACGUG